AUACGGAGGGUGCUAGCGUUGUUCGGAAUUACUGGGCGUAAAGCGCGCGUAGGCGGAUCGGUUAGUUGGGGGGGAAAUCCCGGGGCUCAACCCCGGAACUGCCCUCAAUACUGCCAAUCUAGAGAUCGAGAGAGGUGAGUGGAAUUCCUAGUGUAGAGGUGAAAUUCGUAGAUAUUGGGAAGAACACCAGUGGCGAAGGCGGCCACCUGGCCCGGUACUGACGCUGAGGUGCGAAAGCGUGGGGAGCAAACAGGAUUAGAAACCCUGGUAGUCC
rnacentral:rRNA from 1 species